GACGAACCGAGCGAACGUUAUUCGGAAUCACUGGGCUUAAAGGGCGCGUAGGCGGGCCGUCAAGUCCGGGGUGAAAGCCUCCAGCUCAACUGGAGAAGUGCCUCGGAUACUGGCGGCCUCGAGGGAGAUAGGGGCGUGCGGAACUUCCGGUGGAGCGGUGAAAUGCGUAGAUAUCGGAAGGAACACCGGUGGCGAAAGCGGCGCGCUGGACCUCUUCUGACGCUGAGGCGCGAAAGCCAGGGGAGCAAACGGG
rnacentral:rRNA from 1 species